GAUAGCUGGUUCUCCCCGAAAUAGCUUUAGGGCUAGCCUCAAGUAGUAAGUAUAGGCGGUAGAGCACUGAUCGGGCUAGGGGCCAUAAAGGUUACCGAACCCUGUCAAACUCCGAAUGGUUAUACUGUAGAGCUUGGGAGUCAGACUACGAGUGAUAAGAUCCGUGGUCAAAAGGGAAACAGCCCAGACCACCAGCUAAGGUCCCCAAUGUCGUACUAAGUGGAAAAGGAUGUGGGGUCUCUAAAACAACCAGGAUGUUGGCUUAGAAGCAGCCACCAUUUAAAGAGUGCGUAAUAGCUCACUGGUCGAGAGACCCUGCGCCGAAGAUUACCGGGGCUAAAGUACGAAACCGAAGCUGUGGCUACGACAUAUGUCGUGGGGUAGGGGAGCGUUCUGUGAGGGCUGAAGUCGUUCUGUAAGGAACGGUGGACUUCACAGAAGUGAGAAUGUUGGUAUGAGUAGCGAAAAGAAUGGUGAGAAUCCAUUCCACCGAAAGCAUAAGGAUUCCUGGGCAACGAUCGUCGUCCCAGGGUAAGUCGGGACCUAAUCCGAGGCAUGGAGCGUAGGAGAUGGACAACUGGCAGAUAUUCCAGUACCGGUAAUGAUUGUUUGAGCGAUGGAGUGACACAGGAGGGCAGGCAGGCAGGAGAUUGGUUGUUCCUGUACAAGCGUGUAGGAUGGGACGCAGGCAAAUCCGCGUCCUGUGAGUCUGAGGCGUGAUGUGGAGGUUCCGGAAACGGAACCGAAGCUGCUGACCCCACACUGUCGAGAAAAGCUUCUAGUUAGAGAAUUACCGCCCGUACCGUAAACCGACACAGGUAUGCGGGGAGAGAAUCCUAAGGUGCGCGGGAGAACCCUCGUUAAGGAACUCGGCAAAAUGUACCCGUAACUUCGGGAUAAGGGUAGCCGCUGUUGUGAAGUCUGAACAGACGGAGCAUGAGGCGGUCGCAGAGAAGAGGCCCAAGCGACUGUUUACCACAAACACAGGUGCCUGCUAAAGAGAAAUCUGACGUAUAGGUGCUGACACCUGCCCAGUGCCGGAAGGUUAAGGAAGGAUGUCCGGAGCAAUCCAAAGCAUUCGACCGAAGCCCCGGUGAACGGCGGCCGUAACUAUAACGGUCCUAAGGUAGCGAAAUUCCUUGUCGGGUAAGUUCCGACCCUGGCGAAAGGUGUAACGAUUUGGGCACUGUCUCAACGAGGGACCCGGUGAAAUUGAAGUACCUGUGAAGAUGCAGGUUACCCGCGACUGGACAGAAAGACCCCAUGGAGCUUUACUGUAACCUGACAUUGGGUUCUGAUACAUCACGUACAGGAUAGGUGGGAGGCAUGGAAGCGAGGACGCUAGUCUUCGUGGAGCCGCCGUUGGGAUACCACCCUUGAUGUAUCGGAAUUCUAACCGUAGGAGUAACGAAACUCGGGACAGUGUCAGGCGGGCAGUUUGACUGGGGCGGUCGCCUCCCAAAGAGUAACGGAGGCGCCCAAAGGUUCCCUCAGCGCGGCCGGAAAUCGCGCGAAGAGUGUAAAGGCAGAAGGGAGCUUGACUGAGAGCCAAACACGGCAAUCAGGUACGAAAGUAGGGCUUAGUGAUCCGGUGGCAUCCAAGUGGAAGGGCCAUCGCUCAACGGAUAAAAGCUACCCUGGG
rnacentral:rRNA from 1 species